GAUGAACGCUAGCGGCAGGCCUAAUACAUGCAAGUCGGACGGGAUCCGUCGGAGAGCUUGCUCGAAGACGGUGAGAGUGGCGCACGGGUGCGUAACGCGUGAGCAACCUACCUCUAUCAGGGGGAUAGCCUCUCGAAAGAGAGAUUAACACCGCAUAAUAUCAACAGUUGGCAUGUUCGGUAGAUUAAAUAUUUAUAGGAUAGAGAUGGGCUCGCGUGACAUUAGCUAGUUGGUAGGGUAACGGCUUACCAAGGCGACGAUGUCUAGGGGCUCUGAGAGGAGAAUCCCCCACACUGGUACUGAGACACGGACCAGACUCCUACGGGAGGCAGCAGUAAGGAAUAUUGGUCAAUGGGCGGAAGCCUGAACCAGCCAUGCCGCGUGCAGGAUGACUGCCCUAUGGGUUGUAAACUGCUUUUGUCCAGGAAUAAACCUAGAUACGUGUAUCUAGCUGAAUGUACUGGAAGAAUAAGGAUCGGCUAACUCCGUGCCAGCAGCCGCGGUAAUACGGAGGAUCCGAGCGUUAUCCGGAUUUAUUGGGUUUAAAGGGUGCGUAGGCGGCCUAUUAAGUCAGGGGUGAAAUACGGUGGCUCAACCAUCGCAGUGCCUUUGAUACUGAUGGGCUUGAAUCCAUUUGAAGUGGGCGGAAUAAGACAAGUAGCGGUGAAAUGCAUAGAUAUGUCUUAGAACUCCGAUUGCGAAGGCAGCUCACUAAGCUGGUAUUGACGCUGAUGCACGAAAGCGUGGGGAUCGAACAGGAUUAGAUACCCUGGUAGUCCACGCCCUAAACGAUGAUAACUCGAUGUUGGCGAUAGACAGCCAGCGUCCAAGCGAAAGCGUUAAGUUAUCCACCUGGGGAGUACGCCCGCAAGGGUGAAACUCAAAGGAAUUGACGGGGGCCCGCACAAGCGGAGGAGCAUGUGGUUUAAUUCGAUGAUACGCGAGGAACCUUACCCGGGCUUGAAAGUUAGUGAAGAGUGCAGAGACGCACUCGUCCUUCGGGACACGAAACUAGGUGCUGCAUGGCUGUCGUCAGCUCGUGCCGUGAGGUGUUGGGUUAAGUCCCGCAACGAGCGCAACCCCUAUGUUUAGUUGCCAGC
rnacentral:rRNA from 1 species